AACAAACUACUUAGAGAACGUGGUCAGGCUUUUGAGGGCACUGAUGAGUAUUGGCAAAUCGUUGAUAAGACGAUGCGUAAAAGAUUCCCCGAAUAUGAUUGGGGAGAUGAACCUGCUGAGGGAGCGUCAAGAGCUUCUCAGACACGGACAAAUAAACCAGCUACUGUUGUAGCGCCGGUUUCACGUAGUACGGCCCCCACAAAGGUCAGACUAAAAGAUUCUCAGAUUGCCAUUAUCAAAAAGAUGGGUAUUACACCUGAGCAAUAUGUUAAUGAAAUGCUGAAACUGGAGCGUGCAAAUGGCUGAAAAUCGUUUAACUCGUGAUGUUGAAAACCGUGAGCGCAGUAAUCGUCCUAAACAAUGGAAACGUGCUGAUGUCCUCCCUGAAGUAGAGCCAAUGCCUGGAUAUACACCACGCUGGGUACGUGUGUCUUCAUUAGGGAAAGCUGACCCCAAGAAUGUCUCUGCCAAACUCAGAGAAGGGUGGGAGCCGGUAAGGAUCGAAGAGCAACCGAACCUGAAGUUUAUGCGCGACGAAAACAGCCGGUUUAAAGACAAUAUCGAGAUCGACGGGUUGUUACUCUGCAAAAUCCCCGAAGAGUUUGUUGAACAGCGUAAAGCGUUUUUCAAUAAAGUUACUAAGGACAACAUGGAUGCUGUAGAUAGCAGCUUUAUGAGAGAGAGCGAUGCUCGUAUGCCCCUCUUUGCUGAGAAGCGUACAAAAGUGUCGUUCGGUAAAGGAACUUAAUCUUUAACGAGGUCAAAAAUGGCAUAUCCUGUUAUUGACGCUCCCUACGGUUUCAAAGCUAUUAAUGAACUUAAUGGCCUACCGUACGCAGGAGCAACAAGACAGUUCCCGAUUGCCCGAAGCUAUGCGACUAGUCUGUUUUACGGAGAUCUAGUUCAACUUCAGACAGACGGAACUUUGAUUCUAACGUCCUACUCUGCCGCUUCCAGCCCCACUUCGGUGAUUGCUGGUGCAAUUGGCGUGUUUGUUGGUUGUCAGUUUACUAACCCAACGACUAAGCAACUUCAGUUCUCGCAGUAUUAUCCUGCUAGCACUGCUGCUGACGACAUCCUGGCUUUUGUUGUGGAUGAUCCAUCUGCUCUGUUUAAAGUUGUUAUGGUUGGUCAGACUUCCAGCGAAAGCAAUACUGCCUCUACGGUUGGCUACGCUAACCAGUCGUUUAUUGGAACUAACGUGUACGCGGUUACCGGUGUUGCUGGUAGCACUACUACGGGCAAUUCUAAGAUGGCUGUGUCUGGUGACGGUCCUUCCAACGGUACAGGUAACGUCCGUGUCGCUACUAAUUCGUUGCCAUUCCGUGUUGUAUCUGUUGUGCCUGAGACUGCCUAUACCGUAACCGGUACGGGUACUUCUGCAAGUACGACAAUUACUCUGGAUGCGGCUGUUACUGGCCUUCAAGCUGGUAUGGCUGUUAUUUGCCCUGCAGCUUCCGCUGGUGGGCAACCAGGGAAUUACAACUACGUUACUAACGUUAACGGCACUACUGUUACUGUUGGCAAAACACUCACGGCUUCUACCGCAGGGUCUCAGUUUACCUUUAUUGGGUAUCCUGAGGUUCUUGUUAAGUGGAACCAGGGCUGGCACAGCUAUCAGUUCGCUACUGCGCUCGCAUAAGGGGAAUUUAAAUGGCUAUUUCACGCGCACAACUACUGAAAGAGCUUCUCCCCGGCCUGAACGCAUUGUUCGGCUUGGAGUACGCUCGCUAUGGCGAAGAGCACAAGGAAAUCUACGAGACCGAGACUUCCGAGCGUUCGUUUGAAGAGGAAACCAAACUGUCAGGCUUCUCCGCCGCUCCGGUGAAGAACGAAGGCAGUGCGAUGGCCUAUGACAACGCGCAAGAAGCUUGGACCGCUCGUUACGUCCAUGAGACUAUCGCUCUGGGAUUCUCGCUGACCGAAGAGGCUAUCGAGGACAACCUGUACGACAGUCUGGCUAAUCGCUACACCAAGGCACUGGCUCGCGCCAUGUCUUACACCAAGCAGACUAAAGCUGCUGCGGUUCUUAACAACGGCUUCAACUCUGCCUACACAGGUAUUUGUCUUCUAGUCUUAAGCGGCUUAUCACCGCAAUCUAAGCGAGAGACAUAGUCAGAUGGGGAGUUUGGCUGGGGCGGCACAUCUGUUAAACGAUAACACAGGUGUCCUAAGGUUAGCUCAAUGAGAACAGAAAUCUCAUGUGGAACAAAAGGGUAAAAGCUAACUUGAUUUUGAUUUUCAGUACGAAUACAAACUGUGAAAGCAUGGCCUAUCGAUCCUUUAGUUCUUUGGAAUUUUAAGCUAGAGGUGUCAGAAAAGUUACCACAGGGAUAACUGGCUUGUGGCAGCCAAGCGUUCAUAGCGACGUUGCUUUUUGAUUCUUCGAUGUCGGCUCUUCCUAUCAUUGUGUCGCAGAAGUCACCAAGUGUAGGAUUGUUCACCCACUAACAGGGAACGUGAGCUGGGUUUAGACCGUCGUGAGACAGGUUAGUUUUACCCUACUGAUGAAAGGUUGUCGCGACAGUAAUCCAACUUAGUACGAGAGGAACCGUUGGUUCAGACAUUUGGUUUAUGCGGUUGGUUGAACAACCAGUGCCGCGAAGCUACCAUCUGCAGGAUUAUGACUGAACGCCUCUAAGUCAGAAUCCAUGCUGGACAGCGACGAUAUUCACCGCCCUCUGUGUUCACGCGUAGCGAUAGGCUUCGGCCCAGCACCGCAUGAGAUCACCCUUUCGGGCACUGAGAGCGAUAAAUCCUCUGUAGACGACUUUGAUAUGAACGGGGUAUUGUAAGCAUGAGAGUAGGCUUGUCUUACGAUCUGCUGAGAUUCAGCCUCUGUUCUAUGAUUU
rnacentral:rRNA from 1 species